rnacentral:rRNA from 1 species
AGCAGCCGCGGUAAUUCCAGCUCCAAUAGCGUAUAUUAAAGUUGUUGCAGUUAAAAAGCUCGUAGUUGAAUUUCGGGAUCAAUAUGUUGGUCGUGCCUCGGUACGUACUAGCUUAUUGGUUUCUCCUUUCUGAAGAACCAUGAUGUCAUUUAUUUGGUGUCGUGGGGAAUCAGGACUGUUACUUUGAAAAAAUUAGAGUGUUUAAAGCAGGCUCACGCUUGAAUACAUUAGCAUGGAAUAAUGAAAUAGGACGUUUGAUUCUAUUUUGUUGGUUUCUAGGAUCGACGUAAUGAUUAAUAGGGAUAGUUGGGGGCAUUAGUAUUCAAUUGUCAGAGGUGAAAUUCUUGGAUUUAUUGAAGACUAACUACUGCGAAAGCAUUUGCCAAGGAUGUUUUCAUUAAUCAAGAACGAAAGUUAGGGGAUCGAAGACGAUCAGAUACCGUCGUAGUCUUAACCAUAAAC